rnacentral:rRNA from 1 species
UGGGGAAUAUUGCACAAUGGGCGCAAGCCUGAUGCAGCCAUGCCGUGUGUGUGAAGAAGGCCUUCGGGUUGUAAAGCACUUUCAGCGAGGAGGAAGGGUAGUGUGUUAAUAGCACAUUGCAUUGACGUUACUCGCAGAAGAAGCACCGGCUAACUCCGUGCCAGCAGCCGCGGUAAUACGGAGGGUGCAAGCGUUAAUCGGAAUUACUGGGCGUAAAGCGCACGCAGGCGGUUUGUUAAGUCAGAUGUGAAAUCCCCGCGCUUAACGUGGGAACUGCAUUUGAAACUGGCAAGCUAGAGUCUUGUAGAGGGGGGUAGAAUUCCAGGUGUAGCGGUGAAAUGCGUAGAGAUCUGGAGGAAUACCGGUGGCGAAGGCGGCCCCCUGGACAAAGACUGACGCUCAGGUGCGAAAGCGUGGGGAGCAAACA